rnacentral:rRNA from 1 species
GACGAACCGUGCGAACGUUGUUCGGAAUCACUGGGCUUAAAGGGCGCGUAGGCGGCCAUUCAAGUCAGAGGUGAAAGCCCAAGGCUCAACCUUGGAACUGCCUUUGAUACUGUUUGGCUUGAGACCGGUAGAGGUAAGUGGAACUGCGAGUGUAGAGGUGAAAUUCGUAGAUAUUCGCAAGAACACCAGUGGCGAAGGCGGCUUACUGGACCGGUUCUGACGCUGAGGCGCGAAAGCGUGGGGAGCAAACAGG